CCUUUUUUGUGUCAAACUCUCUUCCCUCUAUUCUCCUCUUCUCCCAACAAACAAAACCUUUGCUCCCAAAGCUUAGUUUCUGAUUUAAAGGGAAAUCUGGCUAUUGGACUAAAAAGGGAAUUUCGACUGAAAGGUUGAAGAUUUAAAAUGGAAUUUCUACUGAAAGUUUGAAGAUUUAUGUAACGAAUUGAAGAAAUGCCAUGGGUUCAGUUUGUUGCUGUUUCAAUGUUUCAAAUGAUGGAGGGCAUUCUGCCUCAAAUGGUCAAAAUCAUAUCUUAUGCAAGUGUUUUAGUUGCUGCUCUCAGAACAUAAUUAACUAGUAUUACUCGUCAUCAGUGUGGAGCGAUAUUUGAUCCAGCACAACAAACUGCUGGGACUUCAGCUAAUCAAGUCUCGUCAUCUUCGACUUCUCUAGCUUCCAUAAACAGUUCACGUAACACAAUCAGUUCUCAGGAUAGAGGUUCACCAAGCAUGCUGCUCCAAGACAGCCACAAAUUCAAGAAGAUGUUGCAUUUAGACGACAGGACAAAGGAACAAGUCAUUUACGGGUUGAGCCCGAACCAGAUAUAGAUGCUGAUGUUCAAAUAACACAAAGGCUUCUAUAAGCAGACAAGCUUCUUAAAUCAGACUUUGUUAAUCAAGAACCGUCAUCUUUGACUGCUGUAGUUUCCAUCAACAGUUCAUGUAAUACAAUCAAGCCUCAGGAUGGAGGUUUACCAAAUAGUGCUGCGCCAAGACAGCCACAGAUGCUACAAGACAAAGGAACAAGUCAUCCACAAGUUGAUCCUGGAACAGAUAUAGAUGCUGCUGUUGAAAUAACACAAAGGCUUCUAAAAGCAGACAAGCUGCUUCAAUCAGGUUCCGAUAAUCAAGGGAUGACAUCUUCGACUGCUGUGUCUGCCAUAGAUACUUUACGUAAUACAAUCAUGUCUCAGGAUAGAGGUUUACCAAAUAAUGCUGCUCCACGAGAGCCACAAAUGCAACAAGAUGUUGCGUUAAGACAACCGGACAAAACAACAAGUAAUUCACAAGUUGCGCCGAAACCAGAUGCUGAUGCUGAAAUAACAGAAAAGCUUUUAAGAGAAGACAAGCUGCUUAAAUCAGACUGUGAUGGAGGAUCUAAAGAAUGUUUUCCCGAGUCCCCUAAGGAGUAUUAUUCAUCAAUAAUGGUGACUGGAAGUUUCCUCAUCAGAAGAUGAGGAUGUAUGUCCCACAUGCCUUGAAGAGUAUACACCAGAGAAUCCCAAGAUAUCUACAAAAUGUUCUCAUCAUUAUCACCUCAGUUGUAUAUACGAGUGGCAGAUGAGAAGUGCAACAUGUCCAGUUUGUGGAAAGG